rnacentral:lncRNA from 1 species
CAGGAGGUCCUGGGCGGUUUUAAGACUUUCUGGAAAAUUAUUACUUAAAAUAUUUUUUUUACUGUUAAAUGAAAUACAUGUAAGUUCAUGGAGUGUCAGUGCGUUUUAAUUUAUUAUACAAAUGAGAGCCCAACUUUGGUAGUCCAGAUUGAACACAUUGGGCAAUCGUAUAUAUGCAAUCAGGAACAGAUGUAUCCACAAAAUUAUAAUAACAUUUUGUGUACUUUUCUGCUUUAAUAAAUCAUUUUUAAUACACAAUUAUUAUACUAUUUAUAAAUCAAUGUUUAAAAGUCAC